AAUUCCUUAAAAACCCCACAUCCCCAGGCCGAAACCCCACAUAACCCGGCCUGCCCCUGGAAUCCGAAACGAAGCCAUUUUGGGUCAAUACGAUCUAAGACCUUCAUUUUUCGGAUCCUACAGUCCAUAUUUUGUCUUGGACAAUUAAUAAAAAUGUCUGAACACACCCUUUAAAUCUACGACCAAACCCUUCUCAUCGUACCUUCCCCGUAAUGCCAAGUCUCCGCCGCCUUCUACCGUGCGCCGCCGGCUGGAAAUCGCCUCCACCGGCGGAGAUGCCCCAAAUACACCCAAAAUAACACCACAAGAUCUCCUCUUCUCAAAUCCGACCUUGGAUUCGCUCGAAUCACAACCAAACGUUACGAAUCUUCGAUUAAAAUUUUGGCCAAAACAGAAACUCGUCCAAACGAUCCCAAAUCGAUACUCGAUAGUCUCCUAACCUUCCUCAUCUCGAAUCCUCAGUCAAAAUCCCUUGAAUCUCAGUGAAGCUCAAUGAAUUUAGGAUCUAGGAAUUCACAUAGUUCCAGGCUAGUGUUGAAGAUUUUUAAGUCUAUCGAUUUCUAGUUAAUAUUAUAGGUCUAUUUUCUUGUGAAUUAGAUGUAUAAUAUUAACCGGAAGUGGAUUUCAAAUGUUUUUCUCAUAGAGGCCGAACUCCAGUAAGUUUUCUUUUCUUUAGUUUGAUUCAUUGUUUUGUUUGGUUCAAUCGAGCAUACUUUUAUUUUUCAGUUUAGUAUAAGUUCGUCUUUACGAUUAUUAUGAAUGUUUAGGAUAAACCUUUUAGGUUAAUUUUCAUUUUUCUUCUAUUUAAUUUCUGAUUUGAUUUUGGUUUUUUGUAAGUUAAAUGCUCAAAUGCUAAUUGGAAGUUAGUAUAAUUAGGCUUUCUCUUUGUUCUGUUCGUGUGAAUUUUGAUUUGGAAUUUCACUUGGAUUUAAGUUUAGUUUAUGCUUUUGUUUUAAGUCUUAUCAGUUUGUUAAUUGUUAAUUAGAUAUUAGUGUUAAUUAGUAUUGAUUAGUGUAGUGUUUGAAGUAGGUUGAUUGGGUUUAGCUGAUUGAGUCACCCUUUUAGUAACUACAGUUAAAUCUUAGCUAAGGUAAAGGGUUUGGUUUGGUCAGUAGUUUCAGGAAGUUUUCAGGGGUAGUUUGGGCAUAAAAUGGUUGUUUUGUAAAGAUUAGUAAAUUCAAAACCAAGAUAAGGGUAUUAUAGGUAUUGUAUAGCUAAAAGAACACCCUAGGGCCUUAUAGAAUAGGAAUUUAGUGUAGAAUUAAGUAAACUUAAGGCAGUAACUUGAGAAACAACUCAGAAAUUGAAGGAUUAAUAAGUGAAAUCUGAAAUUAAAAGAGGGGAAAAUGUGUGAGUGCUAUCUAGAACAUUCUACCCUGUUCGUUGCCUAUUAAAGACAACCCCAAUACCUUCUUUGAUAUGUUUAGACACCCUUGAAAAUUCCCAGAGUUUCCAGCCAUCAAAUUCCAUCUAAAAGCUAUUUUUUUCAAGUUUUAGAUCUGUAUUUUUGAAAUUCAAACCUUCAAAAAUUCAAAAAUAGUAGAAAAUAGGAAAAACCAAAAAUAUUCUACUAUAUGAUUACCGAUUUCAGUCAAUUUUCAGAUUCUGAUUUUGACUUGUAUUCUAACAGUAUUUGGAGGUGUUUAAUAACCUAUUCGAGUAAAUUUGGGAUUGUUCGGUUUCGAUCUCAUUUGAAUAUUGUUCCAAUGAAAUCCUAAGGCAUUUUUUGUUCAAUUUUGGUUAAACUUGGGGUGUAUUUAAAUGGUUUUCCCGGGCUGUGAUUCAAUUUUUGGGCUGUGCAUUCGCUACUAUCUGGUUAUCUUGUGGUCUGUUGUUGCUCACCUAACUUUAGCUGCUGAUUUUCCCUUCUUCUUCUUUGAAUCUUCAUAUCCAGGUACAUGACGAGAGAUCCUACGGCUGUCACCUCACAUGAUUGGAAUAUGAAAUGAAUUGAUGGUGAUUGUCUACUGUGCACUUGAAGUUCUGAUAGAUUUGUCACUUCAGAUAGUGUUCUGCAAUCUAGUUGUUUGUUUGUUAUCACCAAAAUUCUGUAUUAAUCCUGGACUGUUUUGAUACUUGUGAGCAUUAUAGUUGAUAAAUAGUCAAAAUAAGAAAUUGUUUUGGUCCAGUGAGUGGCGAGGUAUAAUUGGGAAGUCAUGAAAUCUUAAAGCAUUUGAAGUUUUGGUUCAGUGUAGUAUACUCAUAUCAUUAAUCCCAUAGUUCAAUGCUUUAUUAAAGUUAAGUAACUAAAGCUUCACAUAUGUUAGCUUAUUCGAAUAACCAAGGUCAUUGAUUUUAAUCUCAUUGAUUAUCUCAUGCAAUUACUAGUGUUGAAUUAAUUUAUAUAGAGAGGAAUUAUUAGUGUUGAAUUGGUGUUGAAUUAUUAUGUGUUGAUAACUUAUCUGGCAGGAAACGCUGGCCCAAAUCAGACUUGAAAUUCAUUUGUAGGCCUAAAUAAUGGAACUCAGGACCAAAUUGAAUGUUGGCUCUUGUUUACCUUUAAGUGUGCAUUCUCAUUUGGGCCUCAAACUAUCUAUCACGCAGGCCCAGGUCCAGUGGUAUUCUCUUUCACAUACGGGCAUGAGCCAAUUGAUUUCAAUCCAAGAAAAAAAACAAUAAUUGUUUAGGAUUUUCUAUUAUUUUAGAGACAAAUAUAUAGAAAAUUAUAGUCACUUUAGGAUUGCCCUAAAAAUCAAUUGAGACGAGCCUCGCGAACUAAAAAUAUAAGAUGGGCCCUCAAUAAAUGGUUGAUUAAAAAUAUUUUAGACUUCGGAAUGGGCCGUUCAGCAAAUUUCACGACUUUCCCUGAGAUAACAAUGCGUCAAGACUUUAAUAAAGUUACUUUUUUAAACUUGGGUGCGUAUUGACGCGACCCAAAUCCAAAUCUCAAUGAAGUCAAAACGUGUUAACAGCCACAGGUGCAUUGAUUGUGACAUGGUUCGAGAUGCGUUUUCACGAUGUUGCAAUUCUUAUAAAAUAAUGACAAAAGUGUUUUACAAAUAAAAAGCACAUAACCUAGCAUGUAUUAAAAUCAGAUAAAGUCAAAUACAAUAGUAGAGCGACCGUACUAGAACCACGAAACCUGAGAAUUCCAAACACCUUUUCCUGGGUUAACAGAAUUCCUUACUCUGAUUUCUGGCUCGCCAACUGUUAACAGAGUCAUAACUUUCCCCGAGUGGGUAUUCAACCAGUGACUUGGGACACAAUUAAUUUCCCAAGUGGUGAAUUUCAAAUCUUAAUAAAUAUGUCUUGUUCCGAUUGACCUUUAAUUGGAAAAACUCCUUUACGCCCUUGUGGGUGUAUUCAAAAAGGAGGUGUGACAAGAUCAAGUGUCAGAAAGCAGACAGUUUAAGAAAAGGAGUUUCCCAAUUUACCAAAAAGAACUGAAUUGCAUACUCAUUAAAAGAGGUUUGUAAGAUAAAUAUAAAGAAGUAAGUUUCAAAGGAUACAGACUGAUUUGAAAAUGUUUAUCGGACUAUCAAAAAUUAGUAUGUUUACAAAAAAAGAACUGAUUUGAGAAUGUUUAUCAGAAAGAAGCAGGUUUCAGAAAAAGAUGCACUUAUCUAACUAUGAGAAAGUUAUAUGAGUUCCGAAAGGGUGCAGAAAGUUGAUUGUUUUAGCAAAAAUUUGAUACCGUUUUAGAUAAGUGAGACAGUUAUGGUUUGAAGUCCAAAUAGACAUGCUUUCUAUACGUUGAUGAUUCUUAAUACUUCUUCAAACAUUAACAACCUUAUAAAAAAGAUAUCUAUAUGCCAAUUUCUCAUUAAGCCUAACAGUUUGCCUAGUGACAUUAUUAUAUGCAGAAAUGCAAACCCCUAUAGGCAUGGUAUUUAUAUGCAUAGUUGAAGAAAUCAGAAAUUAAGUUUUAUAGGCAUGGUUUAUACGCGUGAAGUUGCACAAAUCAGAAAUAAAACCUUAUAGGCAUGGUUUCUACCCUUUGUGCAUAAAAGCAAACCCCUUCCAUUUUCCACUAAAUCCCCGAGUUUCCACAAAUUAUUACAGACUAGUAGAAAAAACUAAAACUAAAAGUACAUCUGAAACUAUCUAGCUACAUAAGAAAAUCCUAAUUCAGACUUAGUGUCUCACAAUAUGAGAUUGUACCACUUCCGGGAUCAAGAUUUCAAAGCCUUCUCUUUAUCUAGGGUGUUUCAAAGUUCUAAGGAAGAGAUCAAUCAGAAUGAGUUACAGUGCAGUGUGGAAGGGCCAGCCCCCAAGUUCCAAGUUCAGAGGGAACUGAGGGGUCCCAAGGCAAGGCUCACAAGAGGCGGACAGGACUUAGUUUCUAAGAAUGAGUGCAAGUGCAAAAGAGGUGGUUAGGGAGUGCCAAGGCAGGCUGGUGGUCAUCCCUAGCCAUAAGGUAGGUUGGCACACCUUUGACUAACCCUAUUAAACCAGACAAAUAUGAGUAAAGACCUAUUGGAGGUCAAACUAUGGCCUAGACAGUGAUUAGGACACUGUUACACAACAGUCUCAAACUCAAAAUACAUGUAAAGGGGAAGGGGGAAUAGUAAUUGAAAGAGUUAGGGACUAAGGGAGUCCUGUCCGUAGACAUGAACAACAAUGUCAAGUGUUGUCAUGUUUCCUGAACCAUAACUCAACAUACAAAGCGACUAGGGAUAUGGAUUCACAUAAAAGCACAGAGAUGAGGAUAUAAAUAAACAAGCAGAACAUUACAGUAUAAGAUUAGUAAGACAAAUAAAGAAAGGACUGAAGAAUAAACUAUAACGACCCGACCGGUCGUUUUGAGCUCCGGCGCGUCAUUCAGAAGUUUGAGGUAGUGAGAGGCUUCAUCUUAGUAUAUUAACUUGUGUGUAUGGUCAGAAUUAAAAUUCAGGAAGUUUGGAGUCAAAUCUAAAUGGAAAUUCUCAUUUUGAAAGCUUAAAAUUGAAGANNNNNNNNNNNNNNNNNNNCCCGUCAUUUUGAGCUCUGGCACGUCAUUCAGCGGUUUGAGGCCAUGAGAAGCUUCAUCUCAGGUAUAUUAACUUGUGUGUAUGGUCAGAAUUAAAAUUCAGGAAGUUUGGAGUCAAAUCUAAAUGGAAAUUCUCAUUUUGAAAGCUUAAACUUGAAGAAAUCAACUAGGAUUGAAAUUUUGAAUAAACGACCUCAGAAUUGGAAUUCGAAGGUUCCAGCAAGUUUGUAUGAUGAUUUUGGACUUGGGCGUAUGCACGGAUCAAGUUUUGGAUAACCCGGGAGCAUUUUGGCGCAUAUUGUGGAAGAUAGCAUUUUAGAAGAAAUUGCAUCAGUUUGGCUUAAAAUGCAUUUUAGUGUUAUUGAUGUCUGUUUAGGAUUCUGAGACUGGUAGUACCUCCGUAUGGUUAUUAUGGAUUUAGGAGCACGAUAGGAAGUGAAUUCAGAUGUCCGUAGGUCAUUUUGGAGUCGUUCGGCUAAAGAUGGAAAAUUGAAGGUUUAUGAGAAAAUUUGACCGGAAGUUGAAAUUUUUAUAUCAGACUCAAAAUGCAAAUUUUAUUGUUCGAAUAGCUUCGUUAGGUGGUUUGGUACUUAAGAGUGCAUCCGGAAUAUUUUUGUGUUGAAAUAUAUGAAUUAUGUAAAAAUUUUGAAGAAUUUUGAUAUUAAAUAUUGUUAAAGUUGACUUUGGUCAACAUUUUUGGUAAACGUACCCGGAUCCAUGGUUUUUCGGUCUCGAAUGGUCCAUAGAAAAAUGGGACUUGGACGUGUUUAUGGAAUUUAAUUCCGAGGUCCCAGGCUCGACAAAAGAAUUUUUUCGUGAAAUUAUUUUCUAAAAAUGUUUAAGGAAAAUGAAAAUGAAAUUUGAUUAGAAAGUAAUGGUAUCAGGCUCGUAUUUUAGUUCCGACACCCGGUACAAUUUAUAUUUAUUGUUCAAGCGCUUCCUGUAAAGUUUGGUUACAAACGAACAUUGUUUGACAGGUUUCUGCCUUAAAUUGGAAAAUUUGAAAGUUUAUGAAAUUUAAAAGAAUUCUUGGAUUUAAGGCUCAAAUCAUUGAUUUUUGAUGUUAUUUUGACGAUUUUUCUGAUGUUUUAGAGUCAGUGUUCAUAUUUGUUUUGGAACCCCGAGGGCUCGGGAGUGUUUUGGAGGUGUCUCGAGGGGGUUUCCGACUUGGGAAAAUUGCAGAAAUUUUGCUAUGCCUAGAAAAAUUUCAGGUGCCAGUAGUCCAGUUUGGAAGCUCAUAUCUUGUAAUAUAUAAGAAAUCAGAAAAAGUGCAAAACACAAAAGUUGUAGCACAUAUAUUCUAAUUUUCAGAAAGUUAAACCAUUUGCAAGUUGGAUAUUAUCUCAGAAAGUUAUGAUGGAUCGAAUUGAGCUGCUGGAGCAAUUUUUGCAGAAUUUACGAUGCAAUUUAGAGCUCAUAUCUCGGGAUAUAUAAAGAGUUAUAUGGUGUAUAACCUAUAAAAUUGAAGAUCUUUGCGUCUAGUUUCUAAAUCUUUAAAUCGUUUGCCAUUUGGAUAUUUAUACAAGACGUUAUGGGUGUUUAAACAGAAGGUGUCCGACAAGGAACAAUUUUAGUAGGAUGUACAACAUGUAUAGCACAAGUGCAAGGUACAACGUGACGAAGCACAGGCAAAUUCCAUUAUACACGGAUUUAGCUCAUUUUUCUAUAUUUCUUCAAAGUAUGGACGAUUUUUGGAGAGCUUCAAGAGGGGAUUUUCAUCAUCAAUGUGAAGGUAAGUUAUCCACAUCAAAUUAUGUAUGGAUUUGAGCAUGAAAAUUGUAGAAAAAUUGAGGAUUUAGGCCUAGGGAUUUGAAAAUAAGAUUUGGUGAUUUUAGGGGUCAAAUGAACUCUAUAUUUGGUAAAUUUUAUAUGUACGAACUCGUGGCGAGACGAGAAAUCCGGUGAUAUGGCCUUCGUAAUUUUUUGAGAAGUGGGCCCGAGGCUCAAGUUUUGCAAGUUUCGUGAUUUUGGAUAUUUUUCGAGUCUUUUCGAUUGGGUUAUAUUCCCUUAGCCUAUUAAAAUAUAUUCGUUGUAGUUUUCUCAAGAUUAUACGCGCGAGGAGGUCGAUUCGAAAGGAAACGACAUCGCGGAAUAGACUCUUGACCGUCUUGAGGUGAGUAAUAAAUUUAUAUCUUGUUCUGAGGGUUUGAAACCCCGUACUUUCAAACUGUAACGAUUUAUUGAGGCAUGAAACGCACUCUAUGGCAAUUGCGGGGUCGGAUACUAUUGGGGAUUAUGACUUGGUCCAUCUCGUGUGAUGUCUAUACUAUACUGGUGAUUGAAACACAUACUUUAUUGAUAUUACUGGGCUUGAUGCCAUGUUCAGGGCUUUGUGCUAAUUUGUAAAAUCCUUCUAGGAUUGAUAUUAUUUCUUAGCAUGAUUUGCAUAUCAUUUAGUUUCAGUCCAAGGUUUUAAAUGAUGUUUUGCAAAAUCAGCCAUAAUUUUAAGUGUUGAAAACAUAAAUGAUAUUUUUAAAUGUAUUCCGGGCUGGGAACUUCUAUUUUGUAAAUUCCCAAAGGGCUUAUUAUAUUAUUCUCUGGACUGAUUACAAAGUGACUUGAAACAGUGGUAACAAUAUUGUGUAAUAAUGGCACUGUACGAUAUAAAUCUGUCAUGUAACAAUGGUUGAACGGUCAGGUAACAAUGACUGACCAAGAUAUUGCGCUUGGGCUGUAGGAGCCUCUCCAAAGUCUGUACACAGCCCUAGUGAGCGCCAUCGACGAUAAAUAAAUAUGGAUGGCUCAGGCUGCACGCCGUAAUGGGUACUGAAAUGUACCAUCAUAUGCAUUGCAUUGCAUUCAUGUAUUUGUAUAUAUGUUGUUGUUUAGCUGCUCAGUUCCAUAUGUUGCUGUAUAUUUGGAUUUUAGCUUACUUUGUGUAUUUACAGGAUUUUCUUAUCUUCGGACUGUAGCUACUUUUAUUACUCAUUGGGUCAGAGUACUCACUUUACUCCAUGCACCUUGUGUUCAGAUCAAGGGCAGUUUCAGGCUUAGUAGAUCCAGUUGAUCAGCAGAUCCAGCUUCUGGGAGUAUUGAGGUAGCUGCACGGCGUUCGCAGCCAUUGAUCUUCUCCCUCCUAUCCUAUAUCUUUAUUUCCUUAUUAUAAGACUUUGGAUAAACCAUGUAUUAGGAUAAUAUUCUAUAUUCUAGAGCCUCAGAUUCCUUGUAUCUGGUCCUAGUGAGAUUAUAUUGUGUAUUUUGUUAAAUUCUUCAGUACUUUAAUCUUGCUUAAUUGAUAUUUCUUUCCACUAUUUUUGAUAAAUUGGUUAAGUGUUGAAUAUGGUCGGGCUUGCCUAGUAGUGUGCUGGGCCCCAUCACGACCGGGAUUUGGGUCGUGACAAGUUGGUAUCAGAGCCUAGGUUACAUGGUCUUGCGAGUCAUGAGCCGCUUUAGUAGAGUCUCAGAGAUUGGUAUGGAGACGACUGUACUUAUCCUUGGGAGGCUGCAGAACCUUUUGGAAAACUUCACAUUCUUGAAAUCUUAUCGUGCGUGCUUGACUCAAGUUGAAAAAGUAACUUUUACAGCUGCUUUCAUACAUUCGUAUGCGCACACGAAUGCUCAGUAUUAGAUGUGCCUUGAUGGCUUGUAAUUCCCCGAUCGAGAGGCGAGGUGUAAUCUCUGUGAGCUUGAUGUUAGGCCAGUCUAGAGGACUUGAGGCCGGAUCUUUGCCUAUGGCUUGACCACCGAGGUGCUGAUUAUGUAAGCAAGUGUUUUAAACUUAUAUGUUUGGUGUUGUUUCUAUUAAUAGGAAUGGUGGAUGGAUAGCUAUGUGAUGAGUAUGUUACAACUGCGAGAUGUAUCUAUAUGACUUCGAAAUGACGAUGGAGACCUGUUGGAUGAUAGGUGGACUAUUAAGUGUUUGAUUUUCGUUGUGAUGCUUUGUCAAGUUGUGGAUGUGUUGUUAGGAUAGUUUUGGUGAUUUUCUGGCAGGUGGAUAGGCCCAAUUACAAAGGAAGGUCUGCCGAAAUUUUUGAAAAUUUUGGGACUUAGUAAAAAUUUUAUCGCCUAAAGAGUGGGCAGAAGAGUUAAAAUUUCCGAUGAUUUGUGUUUUCACAUAAAGGAAACUCUGCCGAAAUUUUUGAAAAAUUUGGGACUUAGUAAAAAUUUAUUGCCUAAAGAGUGGGCUUAACUGUGGAGUGAGUGAAUGCAAAAAUAAAUAAAUAGAAUUGUAGAAGAAUUAAAAUUUCCGAUGAUUCGUGUUUCCACAAGCUUAUUAAGGAGUGAUUUUAAUCUCACUAUGGUAUUACGGCAGCAAUAGAAUAUAUGUGUUGUGAUCUAUGGCCUCGAGCCAAGUUGGGGAUUUUUGUUAUUAAUUAGAUAAUUGUACGGUCGUGUGCUUUGUUGGUUCCGGUUCUAGGCAUGCAGGCGAAUCAGCUCUGGUUGCAGAAACUGGUUCGAAGAUGGCAUGGGUGAGGGAGAACUUUGACAAAGGCUACAUAGUGCUUCAUGGAUGUGUGGGAAUCACAGUAUGUCUUAAUCUGUCAUUGGUAAAGAAUGCUAGGUGCCUGGAGUGAGAAAAUGUUUGGUUGUAUUGGAAUGAGGUCAUACCCACGGGUGUCAGAGUGAUAAUGAGGCACGAGUAGUUAUGUUAUUUGGAUUAGGUGAAUUGCAGGUUCAAUAAAAGUAAAUGACUUGAGAGAAUGGUUUUAAUGUGUUCGAGAGUCGUCUAAUAAUGGCUUUGAGAUAAGUGGGAGAGUCCCGCCGCUUACUAUUCGGUUGCAUGGUGAAUUACCUGCGUGAAUUCUGGUUAUAAUCGUAUUGAUAGGUUAUUGGGUCUACGAAAAAGGACCAUGAGUGGUAAUUUGAGUAAAUGAAUUGUUAAAUGCAUGGUAUGGUUAGCCUUAUUGGCUUAUGUUCAUACUUGAGGCAAGAUUCAUGAUUUAUGCCUCGUAUAGGUGGAGGCUUCGGGGGAAGUGAUCCCUCUGGGGGCUUUUUCAAGAGGGUAUUCAUAUGUUAUAAAUUUCAGUAGAGUUGGUUGCAUUCGAGGCCAAGUCAGGGUCGGUGGCUCUCAAUAGCGGUCCUAGCGAAUUCAAGAGGCAAAGUGUGGUGCUUGAUGAUUCUGAGUCUAUAAGUACAAUUAAUAGUCAAGCUUUUGAAACAACUUAUGAAGAAAGACAUAGAAUGUUCUAUGAUGUUUUGGCUUGCGGUGUAGAAUUUUAGAGACAUGAAUUGGUCAUGGAUUUUGAAACACCAUGGUCUCAUAAUUUAAGGUCACUCGGGGUUAGUGCGGUUGGAAUAAGUUAGGUGUUGAGGGGAGAUAUUAUUACUUCUAAGGAAAUCAAGGAUAAACUGGAAGGAAGUAGAUUGAUUAGCCAUAAUUGAUUUGGCAUAUUGGUGUCAGUGAUCGAUUCGUUCAGCGUGAUCGAGUAAUGCAUGUGAUUUGUGGCAGUGCGUGUGAGGCUUGUCAGCCGUAGUGAUUGAUGUUAUUCUGAAUCAUUCUUCUAUUAGGGCCUGCAUUAACUAGGCGGAUCUCGAAAAAGGCUAUGGUGGCUUGUACCACUACUUAGAGAUUGCAAUAUUCGACGAUUUUGAGAAUUCGCCUGUAUGUUGCUUUUGUUCUCCUUAAGUCAGUCAAAUGGAAAGUCUUAUUAUUAGCCUAUCAUCGGGUCUAGAGUUGUGAUGGAGAACGUGUCUAUCGUAUAUCGGCACGUGAGGUGUAGUGAGUGG
rnacentral:lncRNA from 1 species